rnacentral:misc_RNA from 1 species
AAAACAUUUAUUCUUCAAACUCUUUGUACAUUAUAUAUGACAUUCUAUUACUCUCUUAUUCUACUAUGGUGUCCUAUUUGUCUUCAUCUCUAUCUAGAGAUGCUCUUAUCUCUUGGCUAUUCAUUGACCAUUCUUCUGACAUUUCAAGUAUUCGCUAUACCUCACUGUUCUUGACUUGAUGUCUCAUAACUUCAAUCAACUUUGGUGCUUACCUCACUUUUAUUACGCCCCAACAUGUCUCUUGGUGACUUCAGUCAUCAUUCCUUUG